CCUGUGUGACGAACGACGUUUCGGCGUCGUUUGCACCAUGCGUUCUUCGAGCCGACGCCGAACGCGUGCACUUUUCCCCUAGUAGGACGUCGCGAUCCGUUGGGUGUCUGUCUAAGACUCGAGGUGGAGCCCGUGUGACAUAUUCGCGUAUGUUACGCGGACCCUUGAUGUUCCGACAGACUCGCUCGACGGUAUGCUAAUGGCGCAAGGCCGCUACCUCUAGUUAGCGUUCGGUCCGCAGCAAGCACGUUCUGCGUUUGACGGCGAUCGGACCUCGUGCCGAUUCUGUCCCGGAACGACUGUUGGUUGCGGCACUCUCGAACAGACCUUGA
rnacentral:rRNA from 1 species